rnacentral:rRNA from 1 species
GACGAACGCUGGCGGUGUGCUUCACACAUGCAAGUCGAACGAGGUAGCAAUACCUAGUGGCGGACGGGUGAGUAACGCGUGGGAAUCUGCCUUAAGAUGGGGGAUAACGAGCCGAAAGGCUCGCUAAUACCGCAUAUGCCGAAAGGUGAAAGGAGUAAUCCGUCUUAAGAUGAGCCCGCGUCCGAUUAGCUAGUUGGUAGGGUAAAGGCCUACCAAGGCGACGAUCGGGUAGCUGGUCUGAGAGGAUGAUACAGCCACAAUGGGACUGAGACACGGCCCAUACUCCUACGGGAGGCAGCAGUGGGGAAUUUUACGCAAUGGGGGAAACCCUGACGUAGCGACACCGCGUGAGCGAAGAAGCCCCUUGGGGUGUAAAGCUCUGUCAGCUGGAACGAAAAAAAUGACGGUACCAGCAGAGGAAGCAUCGGCUAACUACGUG